AAACCGAAGGAGGACAACGUUAUCCUGCAUCAUUGGGUUUAAGGGUCCGGAGGCGGACUAUUAAAUCAGAGGUGAAAUCCUGCAGCUCAACUGUAGAAUUGCCUUUGAUACUGGGUGUCUUGAGUUAUUGUGAAGUGGUUAGAAUGUGUAGUGUAGCGGUGAAAUGCAUAGAUAUUACAUAGAAUACCUAUUGCGAAGGCAGAUCACUAACAAUAUACUGACGCUGAUGGACGAAAGCGUGGGGAGCGAACAGGAUUAGAUACCCUGGUAGUCCACGCCGUAAACGAUGGAUACUAGCUGUUCGAACUACAGUUUGCGUGGCAGAGCGAAAGUGAUAUUUAACC
rnacentral:rRNA from 1 species